UAAAGUCCAUUCUACUGGAACAUCACGC
rnacentral:sRNA from 1 species